UUUUUUUUUUUUUUUUUUUUUUUUUUUUAAGAACAGCAGAAAACGAAACGAAACGG
rnacentral:ribozyme from 12 species